rnacentral:rRNA from 1 species
UACGUAGGAGACGAGCGUUGUUCGGAUUCACUGGGCGUAAAGGGUGCGCAGGUGGGUUUGCAAGUUCGAUGUGAAAGCCCCGGGCUUAACCCGGGAAUGGCAUUGGAUACUGCAGAUCUGGAGGAUCGGAGGGGGGACUGGAAUUCUUGGUGUAGCAGUGAAAUGCGUAGAUAUCAAGAGGAACACCAGUGGCGAAGGCGAGUCCCUGGACGAUACCUGACACCGAGGCACGAAAGCUAGGGGAGCAAACAGG